CGGGGCGUAGCGCAGUCUGGUAGCGCAUCCGGUUUGGGACCGGAAGGUCGGAGGUUCAAAUCCUCUCGCCCCGACCA
rnacentral:tRNA from 2 species